rnacentral:snRNA from 9 species
AUACCCACCUGGCGUCACGAUAACGUGAUCAUGCAGGCGGUCCCCGGGGUGCGGCUGCUCCAUUGCACUGCGGAGUGGUUGACCCCUGCGAUUAUUGAAUUGAGUCAUUGCAUGAAACAUAAAUACUAACAUUUGUUAUAUUUUU